rnacentral:rRNA from 1 species
GAUGAACGCUAGCGGGAGGCCUAAUACAUGCAAGUCGAGCGGUAGAGUGACUUCGGUUGCUUGAGAGCGGCGAACGGGUGAGUAACGCGUACACAAUCUACCUUUAAGAGGGGAAUAGCCCUGGGAAACUGGGAUUAAUGCCCCAUGGCAUCACGAGACGGCAUCGUUUUGUGAUUAAAGCUGAGGUGCUUAGAGAUGAGUGUGCGUCUGAUUAGCUAGUUGGUGCGGUAACGGCGCACCAAGGCGACGAUCAGUAGGGGGCGUGAGAGCGUGGACCCCCACACGGGGUACUGAGACACGGACCCGACUCCUACGGGAGGCAGCAGUAAGGAAUAUUGGUCAAUGGAGGAAACUCUGAACCAGCCAUCCCGCGUGCAGGAAGAAUGCCCUAUGGGUUGUAAACUGCUUUUAUCUGGGAAGAAAAGUCGGGAUUUAUCCUGAUCUGACGGUACCAGAGGAAUAAGCACCGGCUAACUCCGUGCCAGCAGCCGUACGG